UAAGACGGAGGGCGCAAGCGUUGUUCGGAAUUACUGGGCGUAAAGGGCGGGCAGGCGGUCCGUUAAGUCAUUUGUGAAAAUCCGGGGCUCAACCCCGCGAAAUGCAAAUGAUACUGGCGGACUGGAGACCGGUAGAGGCUAGCGGAAUUCCUGGUGUAGCGGUGGAAUGCGUAGAUAUCAGGAAGAACACCUGUGGCGAAGGCGGCUAGCUGGGCCGGGUCUGACGCUGAUCCGCGAAAGCGUGGGGAGCAAACAGGAUUAGAUACCCUGGUAGUCCACGCCGUAAACGAUGGGCACUAGGUACCGGGUCUAUAGACGGGUUCGGUGCCGGAGCUAACGCAUUAAGUGCCCCGCCUGGGGAGUACGGUCGCAAGGCUG
rnacentral:rRNA from 1 species